rnacentral:rRNA from 1 species
AACGAACGCUGGCGGCAGGCCUAACACAUGCAAGUCGAGCGGAUGAGUGGAGCUUGCUCCAUGAUUCAGCGGCGGACGGGUGAGUAAUGCCUAGGAAUCUGCCUGGUAGUGGGGGACAACGUUUCGAAAGGAACGCUAAUACCGCAUACGCCCUGAGGGGGAAAGUGGGGGAUCUUCGGACCUCACGUGAUUGGAGCGGCCGAUGUCAGAUUAGCUAGUUGGUGAGGUAAAGGCUCACCAAGGCGACGAUCUGUAGCGGGUCUGAGAGGAUGAUCCGCCACACUGGGACUGAGACACGGCCCAGACUCCUACGGGAGGCAGCAGUGGGGAAUUUUGGACAAUGGGCGCAAGCCUGAUCCAGCCAUGCCGCGUGAGUGAAGAAGGCCUCG